rnacentral:rRNA from 1 species
GGGGGGGGGGGGGGGGGGGGGUGGGGGGGGGGGGGCGGGCGGACGGGUGGGGGGUUGCGCCGGGACCGGCCGCGGCGGGGGGGUGGGUGACGCGUGGGCGACCUGCCUGUAAGACUGGGGUAACUGCGGGAAACCGGGGCUACUACCGGGUAACUCUUUCCCUCACCGGGGGGCAAGCUGCAAUGAGCCCUCGCGCUAUCCCUUCCCGCUGGGCCCGGGGCGCAUUAGCUAGUUGGUGCGGUAACGGCUCACCAAGGCGACGAUGCGUAGCCGACCUGAGAGGGUGAUCGGCCACACUGGGACUGAGACACGGCCCAGACUCCUACGGGAGGCAGCAGUAGGGAAUCUUCCGCAAUGGACGAAAGUCUGACGGAGCAACGCCGCGUGAGUGAUGAAGGUUUUCGGAUCGUAAAACUCUGUUGUCAGGGAAGAACAAGUACCGGAGUAACUGCCGGUACCUUGACGGUACCUGACCAGAAAGCCACGGCUAACUACGUG